UCUUGAGUUUUGGUGUUUUUCUGAACCACCAAAAUCAUAAAAAUGGUCAAGAAGUAAGACAUAGGUGCAGGGCUCAGGAGCUGUUGGCCAAGGCAUACAGACAAGACCAAGACAUAGUCUUGAGCCACCAACUGUCCACAUACAGGGUGAUAGAUCACUUUGCACUGUCUGUACUGGGCAUUUGAACUAUGUCCCAGACAAAGCCAUAAGCAUCUUGUUCUCUCUUGCUUCUGUCUUCUGGGCUUGCAGCUGUGUUGUACACAGUGUGGUUGAUGCUGUGAGAAGCCUGAUGCACUCUGCAUCUUUAUUACCCCAGUAGGUUGCCUUGGAGCACAGCCUGCCUGCAAAUCCCAUUGCCAUCAUGCUAGAUAAUACAGGGACCCUCCAGAAAUAAUCCUUUGCCACUCUGUCUCAUGGGUGAGACAGAGGCAGAGCUCACUUCAGGGAGCAGUGAAACCUACCAGUGUGACACACAGCAUCAGCUGAUGCCCACAGCAGGGAAGGAAAGCCUAAAGCCUUGAACAGCUGCAAGAUGUUCCCCUUUGGGGUUGUAGCAAUCCUAACCAGAAGACUAUUGUGCAUCACAGAGUUAGCGAUCCAUGACAAAUGUCAACCCGAGCAGGCUGUGCUGCCCUGUGCUGUGUGUAUGUCUUGUCCUUCAGGAUAAACUCAGCAGGGUGAUGGUAACAGAGGAGCCCACAGGCAGCUCCCACUCUGUGUUUCUAAUUACACCACCUCUGUGGCCUUGGCAUUAUCUUAAGGAAGAGCAGCAAGUUCUCAUGUGAACAUACAGUCGUUUGACAACAGUUAUGAUGAAUACAUUAUUUUUUGUCUAAGAAAAUUCUGUAAGAGGUCUCAAAACCAAAAUGUUAGGGAACCUUUCCACAGGAUGGGACCUGAACUAUAUGCCCUGAGUGAGAUGCUGCAUGGCUUCAGCAUCUGAAGGGAUGUAAAAUGACAUAUAUUCUUUCUGUUGCUCAUGUUAGCUCCAGAAGAUGGUGUUUUUAGCAAUAGCUUAUGUUUUUAGCAAUAGCUUAAGGCACACUUAGCCUGAGUGCCUUUCUUACUUGAUCAUAAGGUACCCUGAGGUAGUCUCGGUGCUUUGCACUAUAUGUUAGCAGCAGAAUAGUCUAAAGUUGGCCCCAAAGAUGUUUCUGUAUCAAGUGGUGUAAAAGGUGGCAAAUAAAGCUCCAAAGAGUUCCGGCUUUGGGGUUGCUUCUCCACAGCAGUCUGGUCCUGCUAGCUUUGUGACUAUGUAGAAUGCCCAGUACCACUGCAGUUACUCCCUUUUCAUCCAGAAGUACAAGAAAAUAAGCUUUUUCAGUAUCAAAACAAUAACAGAACAUAAACUAUACCCUUUUGUGUUUCAUGUGAAGAGAAAACAUCAAACUUAAAAUGAAACAUUUCUGCUAACCAUAUUUUAUUCCCUUACAAGCUUCUCUGUAUUAUAAAGCAGCUGAUAGCAAGCUUUAGCACUGUGCAUGUUUUAAAUUAAAUGUCCUGCAUAGAACAUUAAUAUCUCAACUCUGUUUUUCAUUUCAGAGCUACACAGGAAAACACCCGUAACUUUGACAGAACCUUGAAAUGGUACUGCAUAAUUCAGAAACAGCUAUUUCUGAAUUCUUCAAAUCACUCUCUUUAAUAACCAUCUAGUGCCAUUGCCAGGUUCUUCUGCCAGGGUUUCAGAUCUUAUUUUCUGACAGCAGUGCAUGGUGGCCCUCUUCCAGCAUGUAUUUGGUGCACUGCAGAGGCCUUUAUACCUGAUUCUUGCAAUUCAGCACCAGGGUGAAGGAGACACAGAAUCCCACUGUUUUAGGGUGUAGCAACUACCUGGUUACACCAAUGCAAAUGAGUAGAGGAUGACACCCAGCAGAUGUGACUGACCUAAUUUUCUCAUCCACGCAAAUGGAAAGUAAUCAGUUGAAACAACUAGAUUUAUAGUUGUGAAAAAAAGCAUUGAAGGCAAAUGAAAGAUCUGACCUAGCUGGAAAAUCUGCCUGUAAAUCCAUCAGUAAACUCCUUGGUUUUUUCUCUUCCCUAGAAAGUAACUAGAAGCAAGUUUCUUAGGUAUCAGGGGCAAUGACAGAGCAAUUAAAAUGCCAGAAAUUUUAACACUGUAUAGUGCUUGCCAUAAACGCUGUCCCAUGAGACCCAGCUGCUAAUGGGUAUUUGUUCAUAGGGCUGGGGGAUUCACAGUUUCCAGGCAGGGCAGUAGCCUUAUCAUACACCUUUGGCUACUGACUCAUAAUAAUCUUCACCGCCACAUGCCACCGGCAUUGCUGCAGCAUGGAGAAGAUGUCGAGAUCAGAGGGAAAAGCGGCAAACAUCAGAUCAGCAUUAAACCAUAGAAAUGGCUAGUAGCAGACAAUUCCAGCUGAGCUGGGUUUUCAAUUACUGUUAUUUAGGCUUUCUGGGAAGCAAAUACUGGGUAAGAGACAACUUCAACAUCAUAU